CUUCCAUGCUGAUGGCUGUGCUCUAGAGUCAUAUCUCCUGUCGAAGAACAUUUUUAGACAUUAUGAACCAUGAAAAUUAAGCAGAUCUGGGCAGCUGAUCAAGGAUCACCAGAAACUCUGCAGAACAUUGGUCCUCCAGCCCAGGACUGGACACCAGUGUUAGUGUCUGUCUCAGAAGCUGAAGAAAAGAGGCCACACCUCAGAGGAAAUAAGCGCCUCCUAAGUGUAAGGAAAUACCUG